rnacentral:lncRNA from 1 species
UAAAUUUGGUGUUGUACCAUGUUCUGAAAUUUGGAGAUGGCCUAACUAUUGAAUUCUCUAUGCAGCGUGAAAUCCAUUAAUCGUUGAAACGAAGCCAAAGCAUCUUCGUGACACCAUCUCAGCACUCAAAGCCUCAAAGCAUUGGGAGCCCCAACUGUUGUCAAGUGAUCACAUUAAUCUCUGUUGCAUUUGGCAUUAGAAUUGAGGUCACGAUCUCUAAUUUUUUGAUUCACUUUCAUUUGGUACUUGAAAUAUUCCUUUUUUGUUCAAGUCCUAAUUUUGUGUAAUGCUAGAGAGUUGCUUGAUGAAAUGCCACAACUAGAUUGGUCGGUCUUAGAAUGCUGUGAAGUUUCAAUUCCAUGAAUGUUCCUGAAGUUUGAAGUAACAAAGGUUUGAAUUCUGUGAAUUGUUCAUGGAGAUUGAAGCUCCAGUAAAUUUUCAUACUUGCUCUUUUUGGCUCUAUCCAUAGAAAUGCAUUUGCUGGACAACCACUGAUAUAUUUAAGAGUAAUAAAAUGUAAGAUUCCAAUUAUUCGGGUGAAUAAGUACAUUGAAACAAAGGGAUUAGAGUAUUCCUAUUUGUUUGCAACACUCAAUUGCUCCAUCAAACAUUUUUUCAAGACCAUACUUGUACUUGAAUCCAGUCUCCAAAAGCUUUUUUGGUGAAAGGCUAGGUAUUUUAAGUUCUUCACUGCUUGUCCCUCUGUACCUGCACAAAAAAACAGUACUUCAAUUAUUUUCUUUCACC